rnacentral:rRNA from 1 species
AACGAACGCUGGCGGCAUGCCUAACACAUGCAAGUCGAACGGGAUCCUAGCUUGCUAGGUGAGAGUGGCGGACGGGUGAGUAACACGUGGGAAUCUGCCUUUUGGUUCGGGAUAACCGCGGGAAACUGCGGCUAAUACCGAAUGCCCUCGUGAGAGGAAAGAUUUAUCGCCAGAAGAGGAGCCCGCGUCCGAUUAGGUAGUUGGUGGGGUAAAGGCCUACCAAGCCGACGAUCGGUAGCUGGUCUGAGAGGAUGAUCAGCCACACUGGGACUGAGAUACGGCCCAGACUCCUACGGGAGGCAGCAGUGGGGAAUAUUGGACAAUGGGGGCAACCCUGAUCCAGCAAUGCCGCGUGAGUGAUGAAGGCCUUCGGUUGUAAGCUCUUUGUCUAGGGAAGAAACGGUUAGUGGCUAA